GAUGAACGCUGGCGGCGUGCCUAAUACAUGCAAGUCGAGCGAACAGACGAGGAGCUUGCUCCUCUGACGUUAGCGGCGGACGGGUGAGAAACACGUGGAUAACCUACUUAUAAGACUGGGAUAAUUUCGGGAAACCGGAGCUAAUACCGGAUAAUAUAUUGAACCGCAUGGUUCAAUAGUGAAAGACGGUUUUGCUGUCACUUAUAGAUGGAUCCGCGCCGCAUUAGCUAGUUGGUAAGGUAACGGCUUACCAAGGCAACGAUGCGUAGCCGACCUGAGAGGGUGAUCGGCCACACUGGAACUGAGACACGGUCCAGACUCCUACGGGAGGCAGCAGUAGGGAAUCUUCCGCAAUGGGCGAAAGCCUGACGGAACAACGCCGCGUGAGUGAUGAAGGUCUUCGGAUCGUAAAACUCUGUUAUUAGGGAAGAACAAAUGUGUAAGUAACUAUGCACGUCUUGACGGUACCUAAUCAGAAAGCCACGGCUAACUACGUG
rnacentral:rRNA from 1 species